GAUGAACGCUGGCGGCGUGCUUAACACAUGCAAGUCGAACGGAAAGGCCCAAGCUUGCUUGGGUACUCGAGUGGCGAACGGGUGAGUAACACGUGGGUGAUCUGCCCUGCACUUCGGGAUAAGCCUGGGAAACUGGGUCUAAUACCGGAUAGGACGAUGGUUUGGAUGCCAUUGUGGAAAGUUUUUUCGGUGUGGGAUGAGCUCGCGGCCUAUCAGCUUGUUGGUGGGGUAAUGGCCUACCAAGGCGUCGACGGGUAGCCGGCCUGAGAGGGUGUACGGCCACAUUGGGACUGAGAUACGGCCCAGACUCCGACGGGAGGCAGCAGUGGGGAAUAUUGCACAAUGGGCGCAAGCCUGAUGCAGAGACGCCGCGUGGGGGAUGACGGCCUUCGGGUUGUAAACUCCUUUCGCUAGGGACGAAGCGUUUUUGUGACGGUACCUGGAGAAGAAGCACCGGCUAACUACGUG
rnacentral:rRNA from 1 species